rnacentral:tRNA from 1 species
UGGGAUGGAGCUUAAAGGUAGAGCACUUGCUUAGCAUGCAGGAGGCCCUGGGUUCAAUCCCCAGCAAUUGAA